AGGAAGGUAGUGUAGUUAACACCUGCAUUAUUUGACGUUACCUACAGAAGAAGCACCGGCUAACUCCGUGCCAGCAGCCGCGGUAAUACGGAGGGUGCGAGCGUUAAUCGGAAUUACUGGGCGUAAAGCGCAUGCAGGCGGCCUGUUAAGUCAGAUGUGAAAGACCCGGGGCGUUAACCUACGGAAUUGCAUUUAGUAAACUAGGCAGGCUAGAGUCUUGUAGAGGGGGGUAGGAAUUUCAGGUGUAGCGGUGAAAUGCGUAGAGAUCUGAAGGAAUACCAGUGGCGAAGGCGGCCCCCUGGACAAAGACUGACGCUCAGAUGCGAAAGCGUGGGGAGCAAACAGGAUUAGAUACCCUGGUAG
rnacentral:rRNA from 1 species